GUUAUAAUCCCUCCGUUCGGAAAUACUUGUCUUAGAAAUGGUUGUAUCUAGAACUAAAACAAGUCUAGAUACAAUCAUUUCUAGGACAAGUAUUUCCGAACGGAGGGAGUAUUUA
rfam:Triticum urartu cultivar G1812 contig984499, whole genome shotgun sequence.